rnacentral:ncRNA from 1 species
CAACAUGAGAGUUUGAUCCUGGCUCAGAACGAACGCUGGCGGCAGGCUUAACACAUGCAAGUCGAGCGCCCCGCAAGGGGAGCGGCAGACGGGUGAGUAACGCGUGGGAACGUACCCUUUACUACGGAAUAACGCAUGGAAACGUGUGCUAAUACCGUAUGUGCCCUUUGGGGGAAAGAUUUAUCGGUAAAGGAUCGGCCCGCGUUGGAUUAGCUAGUUGGUGGGGUAAAGGCCUACCAAGGCGACGAUCCAUAGCUGGUCUGAGAGGAUGAUCAGCCACAUUGGGACUGAGACACGGCCCAAACUCCUACGGGAGGCAGCAGUGGGGAAUAUUGGACAAUGGGCGCAAGCCUGAUCCAGCCAUGCCGCGUGAGUGAUGAAGGCCCUAGGGUUGUAAAGCUCUUUCACCGGUGAAGAUAAUGACGGUAACCGGAGAAGAAGCCCCGGCUAACUUCGUGCCAGCAGCCGCGGUAAUACGAAGGGGGCUAGCGUUGUUCGGAUUUACUGGGCGUAAAGCGCACGUAGGCGGAUCGAUCAGUCAGGGGUGAAAUCCCAGAGCUCAACUCUGGAACUGCCUUUGAUACUGUCGAUCUGGAGUAUGGAAGAGGUGAGUGGAAUUCCGAGUGUAGAGGUGAAAUUCGUAGAUAUUCGGAGGAACACCAGUGGCGAAGGCGGCUCACUGGUCCAUU